rnacentral:lncRNA from 1 species
AAUUUAUUUUUGUUUGAAUUUGAGUAUAGUAAUGCCGUAUUAUCAAGAGGGAUGCGUAAUCUUUAUCCUUUACAUUAAAAAGGGUGCUCAAGAUGACCUAACAAACCUGUGAGAGACUCCUUUGCACCUGCACUUCACAUGGGAUAUCAUUGAGUGGUGCUAACAUGAGAGCUCCAGAGAAUUCCGAAGAUUUGUUCGGAAUAAUUCGGAGGUUCCAGAGAAAGUUCCGAAACUUUAGCUGUAACGGCUAGUUUCGAGGUGAAGGGGUAUAAAUACCCCCUCAAC